GCCUGCCGAGGGUGCCAUCAACGUGCGUGCCGGCGUGGUGGAGGAGCCCGAGGUUUGACGACGGAACUCCUGUGUGGUGUGGAGGCGUUCCGACACGUCCAGCCAAGUAUCGCGUCUCGACAUACUCAAGCGGAGUCCACCUCCUCCACAUGGUGGACCAGAAGGGAUCAGUACCACCGGACUACCGGAGGAGAGCAGAGGGGAGGCGCGGCUGCUGCUCCUUUUGAUAGACAUUAACUAUUCUCUUUGACAAGUUUGGUGGAUGCAAAUCGUCUCCUGCAGCCAAUAUGAUCAGUGCACCGCUUUCCUCAAUCCCCACCCAUGUGCGUUGUUGUCCCGCAGGUGUAGAACAAUCAGCAGGGCUAGGAGGUUCUUCCUUUAAUUUUCUUCCUAAGAACCUUCUUUCCAUGUCCUCACCUCCGUUAACCCUUGGUGAAACUGAGUGUUUCUUUGCAGAGGAACCAAGAGGAGAACCAUGCAGACAUCCUUUCUGAAGGAUUUGUCUCAGCGAAGGUUUCAAUGGAAGGUCGUUGUCCAUGUCAACCAAAUCUGGGAGUACAUGGAUCAGCCGACUCAGCAGAAUUUGUUCGAACUCGACUCCAUUGUCGUUGAGCGAGAGGGCAAGACAAUUGAGGGAUGUGCGCCAGAUAAUAGAAUAGACCAGUUCAGAGAGCAGCCUAAAGAAGAUUCGAUCUACAUGUUCGAAUCUUUUAUUGUUGCUGAUGUACGAAGCGCAGAUUUUACCCAACGCACAAAGAUGUUGGACGGGUGAAAAUGUUGAUAGACAUCAUUCCACCAAAGUUGAAUCAACAACCCAAGAGACAUAUCCACUUCAAAGAUGCAAGUGGCAGACACAAAAUUGUUACUCUAUGCGGAGAGCACACAGAGAAUUUUGAUGUGGAAGGCCAUCAUGUAGCCUCUUCUAAAGAUAGCAUAAUUCUUUUUUUUGAGAUCAAGAUAGCAUAAUUCAGCUAUUCCUAGGCAUGACGGUUGCCCAGUUUCAGGUAUCUGAAUUUCAAAUCGCUACUGACACGACAAAUAUUGAUUGAGCUUGCUACUCGCACAUCACUUAUAUUAUUGCAGGAAUAUUAGGUUUCAAAAACACUUAUGUGUUGUGUUGGCACGUCAACAUACCAAUUCCUGAAACGUACAUUCUGCACUAGAGGCAAAGAUGCCAUUCUUCUUGUGGCAACUACUAGAGGACGAGCCGAUUUCGUCGCUCCUGCCAUUACCAACAUAAUAGGCAAAAUGUGUUGUCGUUGCUGAAGUCACGCAUGCAGCUCUUGAUUUCAAGAAUGUAAGCAUCAAUGAAGCAUCUGUGUGAGCUGAUAGACCCACCAUACCGAGACUGCUGAUUCUAACAUACCAAAGAUACAAUCGAGAUAGCUGAUUCUGACAUAAGAGAGGAUCAAGCUCCACCAUAGAAGGCAAGACGAGAAAGAACGCAUUAACUCAUGCUCUGUUUUAUAUCUCCAAGUAAACUUCAUUAGCUCACUAAGUUUACAACCUGGCCACCACUAGCAGAAAUCCUAGCUUCGCCAAGAAACAUCAAGGCUUCACUCGAUGUGGCAAAAAAGAUCGACUACACAAGAUAAAAAAAACAACCAGGUGGAGACUCCUCAUCAAGAAACCAUUCCGUCAACUUUUGCUACUGAGAUCACAAUGCAUAAUACAACUACCUUACGUACUACCACUGGGAUAAACACUCUAGCAGUCAUGUAAUAUUAGUUACCUAGAAGAUCAUCUAUAAUUAUCUAGAGUAGGCUUCUACCUGUAUAUAACUGUCUAAUCACCUUCCUACUAUGUAU